AAUGAACGUUGGCGGCGUGGAUUAGGCAUGCAAGUCGAGCGAGAAUCGUAGCAAUACGUGGACAGCGGCGAAAGGGAGAGGAACACGUGGAUACCUACCCUCAGGUUCAGGAUAGCUAUGGGAAACUAUAGGUAAUACUGAAUAAUAUCUCCGGAUCAAAGGUGUGAUUCCACCUGAGGAGGGGUCCGCGUCCUAUUAGCUAGUUGGUGAGGUAACGGCUCACCAAGGCGAAGAUGGGUACGGGCGUGAGAGCGUGACCCGGAUCACUGGGACUGAGACACUGCCCAGACACCUACGGGUGGCUGCAGUCGAGAAUCUUCGGCAAUGGACGCAAGUCUGACCGAGCGACGCCGCGUGUAUGAUGAAGGUCUUCGGAUUGUAAAGUACUGUCGAUUAGGCGGAAGUGCAUGAGAGUUAUCUCUUGUGCUUGACCUAUCAAUGGAGGAAGGACGGGCUAAGUUCGUGCCAGCAGCCGCAGUAA
rnacentral:rRNA from 1 species